UGCGCGCCCGUCCCUCGGAGCCGCCGCCUUCAGUCACCGCCACCGCGCGCCAGAGAGAAGCAGCCUCCGGCCCCGGCGGCCCCUGUCUCCCGACCCCGGAAGGCGAAGCAGGCUGCCCGGGGACCCCGCGCGUCGGCGCUUGAAGCCGAGACCAGCCUGCCCGGGCCUGGGCAGGGGGAGCAGGGCCUUGGACCCCGCGGCGCCUCUCGGCCUCGGAGCAGCGAGCGCAGCGCCGCCUCUGAAGAACCAAUCCAUUCAGGAUGGGAAACCACGCAGGCAAACGAGAAUUAAAUGCCGAGAAGGCCAGUACGAACAUCUCCCAGAGCAGCAAAGUCCUGCGGAAAAGAGUGUCAGUGGCAUCUUUUGUUAUGAGAGGAGAUGGAAUCCUCCUGGGUGACUGAUAGCUGAGAGGGAGGGAGACAAUCAGGAGAGCCAAGAAGAGAGAUGGGUUCCAGGAGGAGAAAGUUGUCCACAACAGGAAGAGCUGCCACAGGGCUCCCCUCUGCCCGGCCCCUGCAGACCCCAUCUUCAGAGAAUGGUGAAACUAACAGAGGAGAAUCUGAAAAAAAGAGAAACCUGGAUGAACUUUCACGGACAACCUCAGAGGACAAUGAAGUGUUUGGAGAGGCAGAUGCGAACCAGAACAAUGGGACCUCCUCUCAGGACACAGCGGUGACUGACUCCAAGCGCACAGCGGACCCAAAGAAUGCCUGGCAGGAUGCCCACCCAGCUGACCCAGGGAGCCGCCCCCACUUGAUCCGCCUCUUUUCCCGAGAUGCCCCGGGGAGGGAGGACAACACCUUCAAAGACAGGCCCUCUGAGUCCGACGAGCUCCAGACCAUCCAAGAAGACAGUGCAGCCACCUCUGAGAGCCUGGAUGUGAUGGCGUCACAGAAGAGACCCUCCCAGAGG
rnacentral:sRNA from 1 species